GUACAUAGUCAUACCCAAAUUUCCCCCAAAUUUGAAUAAUUCCCCAAUCUGAAAAUCCCCAAAUUCGAGCCAAAUCGACGAACGCCAAAUCGUCCGACGUCCGUCGUCCGUCCGUCGGUCCUCCUCAGUCGGCCGACCUCCUCCGUCCACAGCAACGUCCGGCAGAGUGGCCCUCUGAACUACCGCCUCCGUCAAUCGCGGCUCCACCGUCCGCAUCUGACCUCCUCCACCUCUGACCUCUGAACUGCCGGCGUAGAAAAUUUCAGAUUCUCAUCCUAAACCGUGGGUAGCAUCUAUUCUUCACCCCAUGGUGCCCAAUCUGAUUCAGUCCGAACCGACAUAGCAAGCUGCACCGAUUCGGACCGCCCCAACACUGCCGGCAGCGCUUGAACAGACAGCACAAGCAUUGUCGACAGCGCCUAUUGCGACCGAGACAGCACAACAGGCUAUCACGGUCGCUACUGCCCGCUCGCGCGGUCGCCCAAUGGGCUGCUCCACUCGACCGAACAUCCGCACACAUGAUAUGGAAACACGGAGUCCGUCUCGAGCACCAUUGAUCCCACUUGUUACACACAGGCUGUUAAACACUUGGAAUGACGCAAGGCCAUGGAUGAGGAAUUUAAUGCUUUGUUGCAAAAUCAAACAUGGUGCCUGGUUCCAUCUAAACCUAAACAAAAUGUAAUUGGAUGUAAAUGGUUGUUUCGAACUAAGAGGAAAGCGGAUGGUUCAAUAGAGAGAUGCAAAGCAAGACUGGUAGCAAAAGAAUUUAAUCAGGUUCCCGGUCAAGAUUUUGUUGACACUUUCAGUCCGGUCAAGAUUUUUAAUUACACUCAAACUGGUCCUCAGACUAUUAAAAAUUAGGUCAUAUUAGUCCUUCGUUAAUAUUGGCGUUAAGUUGAUGUUAAAUGAAGAGUAAAAAAGAUAAUUCAGGUGUUUCACUCCA